rnacentral:rRNA from 1 species
GACGUAGGGCGCGAGCGUUGUCCGGAUUUAUUGGGCGUAAAGAGCUCGUAGGCGGCUUGUCGCGUCGACCGUGAAAACUUGGGGCUCAACCCCAAGCCUGCGGUCGAUACGGGCAGGCUCGAGUUCGGUAGGGGAGACUGGAAUUCCUGGUGUAGCGGUGAAAUGCGCAGAUAUCAGGAGGAACACCGGUGGCGAAGGCA